rnacentral:lncRNA from 1 species
AUACAUCUAACUGUUUUUUGAACAGUCUGAACUUGGUAUGUUGGGAGCUAACAUCAAAGAACUAUUUUCCCCCAUUCACAUGAGGACUGUGUCAAAUCUGCCUCCUAUCACUUAAGGAGGUUUUGGGAAAAUCAUUCACUUUCGUUUCUAUCACUUCCAGUAACUUAACAGUACGGCUCAGAUGUAAAACUCCCCUUUUACUUGUUCCUGUCACUUCAGCCCAAGCUUGUCUCAUGAUCUAAAAAUCUGUAAUAGGGAAGAGGGUGUGGUCUGAUCUUUCCCCUUCUAUUUUACCUCAUCUAGUUCCAGAUUCUCAAAUCAUAUAGGGCCAGGAGGAGAGGACCAAAUUAUGUCUUAGUUACCUGGCUGCUGGUGGUUGUCUCUGUUUUUUGUAGAGCACAGGUGUAACGGCUUUCAGGGUGGGGGUGGGGAACUCUCCACUGAGUAGUGUGCUGAUGUGGGAGAUCUCUGGCUUGGCCUCUUCCGGCCCUCCUCCCACUCAGCUCCCACCAAUGAUGUAUCAAUAAAACCUCUUGCUGCUGGAGAUCUGCUUACCUGGUGGCCAGGGUGGCAAGACAAGUGAAGCCUGACUAUGCCUGCAGCAUCCACUGUGGAAACUACUACAUCUUUGCCAUGCCAAACACAGCAUGCUUCUGGUCAGCCUAUACAGUCUCUGUCCUGGUGAGGAGCAUGAUCACCAACAGGCAAGAUCUUCUGGCCUUGAAGUUUCGCUUGAGUUAAAAGAGCUCAUCUCAGGACUUUCUGAAUUUUCAGCCCAUAUGACAUGGAAGAAGAGUUAGAAGGGGAAUCUGACUGCUUGGAUCAGGGACUGUCUGGCUGGUGGAACUUGAAUGUAUACAACACUCUUCAUUUGCAUGUUUUGACAUUUUAAAAAAUGUUUUCACUUUCCUUAUCUACUUUGACUCUAAUAACAUCCUGAAAGGUGCUGUUGUCCUCUUUCUGGACCUUAGAGAUGUACAGUGCGCCACUCUGAGGAUCAAGUCUGACCCUGCCUUUAAAUUUGGAUUCAAAGUACUUAGAUUUUCUGGAAUCCCAUUCUACAAUCUUCUGGUCGAAAGUAUAAAACCAGCAUUGGCCAGCUUGAGAAAUAAAGGGACAGAGUACAAAAGAGAGAAAUUUUAAAGCUGAGCAUCUGGGGGAGACAUCACAUGUC